CAGCCGCCACGGUAAAACCGAGGGUGCAAGCGUUAAUCGGAAUUACUGGGCGUAAAGCGCGCGUAGGUGGUUUGUUAAGUUGGAUGUGAAAUCCCCGGGCUCAACCUGGGAACUGCAUCCAAAACUGGCAAGCUAGAGUAUGGUAGAGGGUGGUGGAAUUUCCUGUGUAGCGGUGAAAUGCGUAGAUAUAGGAAGGAACACCAGUGGCGAAGGCGACCACCUGGACUGAUACUGACACUGAGGUGCGAAAGCGUGGGGAGCAAACAGGAUUAGAUACCCCGGUAGUCCCUGUCUCUUAUAC
rnacentral:rRNA from 1 species